rnacentral:rRNA from 1 species
CAGUAGCCACGGUAAUACGAAGGGGGCUAGCGUUGCUCGGAAUCACUGGGCGUAAAGGGUGCGUAGGCGGGUUUCUAAGUCAGGGGUGAAAUCCUGGAGCUCAACUCCAGAACUGCCCUUGAUACUGGAAGUCUUGAGUAUGGGAGAGGUGAGUGGAACUGCGAGUGUAGAGGUGAAAUUCGUAGAUAUUGGGAAGAACACCGGUGGCGAAGGCGGCGACCUGGUCCAUUACUGACGCUGAGGCGCGAAAGCGUGGGGAGCAAACAGGAUUAGAUACCCGAGUAGUCCCUGUCUCUUAUAC